GUGAUCAUAUAGGCUCUAUGAAGACAACUAGUGAGGGAAAAUCUGUUCUCUCACAAGGAAAUCUUCUCUUGGAAUGGAUAUAAGAAAAAAGAAGAAAAAAAAGCAAUUUGGAAAAGCCAAACAUGUGGAUCAUGUCUGAGAGCAUAUAUGAAAAUGGAUGUGUGAGUCUGGGAGAUCCUGAGGUCAGAACAUCAAAAAUUCUCCCAGCCACUUGAGGUCACACCAGAGUUUGUUGGAACAGUUCUAGCUGAGGAGAGAGGAAGCCUCUGCAGGUGAAUGUGAAAAAGCCCGGCUCAGCCUCUUCUCCCUGCCUGCAGCCAUCCGCUCCAGACCGGUUUGCUGUUUGACCCAGAUUGCAGCUCACCUGCCCACCCCGGCUACCCACUCCUGCUCCGGCUGCUGCCCACCUCAGUGGUCUCUCAUUCAUCUGUCCCAGUUGAUCCCAGUCCAGCAAAAAACUGUCCUCAGACCCAGAUGGCUCAUCGCCCCAGACCCAGCCCCAGGACCUAGGCUGCUGGUAGCAGAUCCAGUUUUUUCAGGAUCAAAAAACUGGCUGGUAAAAAUGGGGGUAUUGGCCUCCAUGUGGGCGGACCAUAGGAGGGGAGAGCAAAGAGGGAAAGAAGAAAGGUUUUU
rnacentral:lncRNA from 1 species